rnacentral:sRNA from 1 species
UAAUAGCCCGGAUAGAAACGGCAUCCUUUUUUGUUUUUAGAUGGAAUAUAAGCCGGGAAACAAAAAAGAUAUAGUGUAUAGCCGGAAGUAGC